rnacentral:rRNA from 1 species
UACGAGGGGGCGAGCGUUGUUCGGAAUUAUUGGGCGUAAAGGGUGCGUAGGCGGCCUGACAAGUCUGAUGUGAAAUCCCUGGGCUCAACCCAGGCCUGCAUCGGAAACUGUCGGGCUUGAGUAUGGGAGAGGUGAGUGGAAUUUCCGGGUGUAGCGGUGAAAUGCGUAGAUAUCGGAAGGAACACCUGUGGCGAAAGCGGCUCACUGGACCAUUACUGACGCUGAUGCACGAAAGCUAGGGGAGCAAACAGG